UACGUAGGCAGCAAGCGUUGUUCGGAGUUACUGGGCGUAAAGGGUGCGUAGGCGGCCCUGUAAGUAUGGUGUGAAAUCUCCCGGCUUAACUGGGAGGGUGCGCUAUAGACUGCGGGGCUCGAGUGUGGGAGAGGAAAGUGGAAUUCCUGGUGUAGCGGUGAAAUGCGUAGAGAUCGGAAAGAACACCAACGGCGAAAGCACUCUGCUGGGCCGACACUGACACUGAGAGACGAAAGCUAGGGGAGCGAAUGGG
rnacentral:rRNA from 1 species